rnacentral:rRNA from 1 species
AGCUUAGUUGCCAUCAUUAAGUUGGGCACUCUAAGUUGACUGCCGGUGACAAACCGGAGGAAGGUGGGGAUGACGUCAAAUCAUCAUGCCCCUUAUGAUUUGGGCUACACACGUGCUACAAUGGACAAUACAAAGGGCAGCGAAACCGCGAGGUCAAGCAAAUCCCAUAAAGUUGUUCUCAGUUCGGAUUGUAGUCUGCAACUCGACUACAUGAAGCUGGAAUCGCUAGUAAUCGUAGAUCAGCAUGCUACGGUGAAUACGUUCCCGGGUCUUGUACACACCGCCCGUCACACCACGAGAGUUUGUAACACCCGAAGCCGGUGGAGUAACCAUUUGGAGCUAGCCGUCGAAGGUGGGACAAAUGAUUGGGGUGAAGUCGUAACAAGGUAGCCGUAUC